rnacentral:lncRNA from 1 species
UAUAAGCUUAUGAAAAUACCGUUCUCUGCAAGCUUAGGUUUUGAAGAAAACAAUUAUUUCUUUUUAUUUAAUAUGGUAUCAGAGUAUGAGGUCUUCAGUUCCAGUCACCUCAGACUUCUAGCAUAAUUUAUUUUUUUUUUCUAUUUAAUUCAAUUUCAAGUUAUGAGCCUAUCAAAAGGUUUCGAGCGUAGACUAUUUUUUUAUUCAGAGGUAAACGGUUACUGUAUUUAACUUUAACAUUAACCCUCCCACUCAUAUGCAUGGUAGGUAUCAGAUAAAUUCUAUCCACUGACUGCAUAGAUAACGAAAUAGUAAACAAGCGUAAGCUAUUAGAGAUAAAUGAUUGUUUAUUUAAUUUAACAUUAACCCUUCGACUUAUGUGCAUGGUGGAUAUUAGAUAAAUCAUGCCACAUGCACUGACUGAAUAGAUAACAAAAUAAUUAAUAAGAAUAUAUGUGCAUUAAAGUGAUGAAUGUGGUAAUUAAACUCA